CAGCAGCCGCGGUUAUACUGAGAGAUAAAAUGAAAGAAAGUUGGUUAAAGAUUCUUAAAUGACACGUUAAUAUAAUUAAAUUAAAUUUGUACUAAUAAAGGGUGAAAUUAGUUUUUGGUGAGCAAAGGUAGUUUGUUUUUAAUGAGAUUGAGGUUGUUAAGAUUAAGGUAUGGACCAGGAUUAGAUACCCUGUUACACUUUAUUUUAAAGUAAUGUUACCUGGGUAGUAAGCAGUUAUUGUCUUGAAACUCAAAGGAUUUGGCGGUAACUUAGUCUAGUUAGAGGAACCUGUCCUGUAAUCGAUAGUCCACGAAGUAUCUUACUUUACCUUGUGAGAAACAGUUUGUAUACCGUCAUUAUUAGAUAACUUUAAAAAGAUUUUUAGUUGUUGAAAUAGUUUUAAACUAGUAUAUUAGAUCAAGGUGCAGCUUAUGGUAAAGAAGAGAUGGGUUACAAUAAAAUUUUUUAUAAGACGGAUUAAAGAAUGAAUUUCUUUAUGAAGGUGGAUUUAAAAGUAAGGUGAUUUUAAUAUGAUCAUUUGAUUAUAGCUCUAGGUUAUGUACACAUCGCCCGUCGCUCUCGUUAAUUAAAGCGAGAUAAGUCGUAACAAAGUAGGUGU
rnacentral:rRNA from 1 species